AGAAUCAACGCUGGCGGCGUGCCUCAGACAUGCAAGUCGAACGCGAAAGUCCCCUUCGGGGGGCAAGUAGAGUGGCGCACGGGUGAGUAACACGUAGGUAAUCUACCUUUGGAUGGGGAAUAACAACCGGAAACGGUUGCUAAUACCGCAUAAUGCAGCGGCACCUAAUGGUGACAGUUGUUAAAGCGGGGGAUCGAAAGACCUCGCGUCUGAAGAGGAGCCUGCGGCGAUUAGCUAGUGUAAGGUACGCUUACAGGCAACGAUCCGUA
rnacentral:rRNA from 1 species